rnacentral:rRNA from 1 species
GAGGGAAAGGUGAAAAGAACCCCGGGAGGGGAGUGAAAUAGAACCUGAAACCGUGUGCCUACAACCGGUCAAAGCCCCUUAUGAGGGUGAUGACGUGCUUUUUGUAGAACGAGCCAACGAGUUACGGUAUGUAGCAAGGUUAAGUACUUAAGGUACGGAGCCGAAGGGAAACCGAGUCUUAAUAGGGCGACUAGUUGCAUGCCGUAGACCCGAAACCGGGUGACCUAUCCAUGGCCAGGUUGAAGCGAGGGUAAAACUUCGUGGAGGACCGAACCACGUUGCUGUUGAAAAAGCAUGGGAUGAGCUGUGGAUAGCGGAGAAAUUCCAAUCGAACUCGGAGAUAGCUGGUUCUCCCCGAAAUAGCUUUAGGGCUAGCGUCGGAUAUGUGUAGUGGAGGUAGAGCACUGAAUGGGCUAGGGGGCAUAUCGCUUACCGAACCUUAUCAAACUCCGAAUGCCAUAUACAUUAAGUCCGGCAGUCAGACUACGAAUGAUAAGAUCCGUGGUCAAAAGGGAAACAGCCCAGACCGUCAGCUAAGGUCCCAAAGUGUAAGUUAAGUGGAAAAGGAUGUGGGAUUUCUAAGACAACUAGGAUGUUGGCUUAGAAGCAGCCACUCAUUUAAAGAGUGCGUAAUAGCUCACUAGUCGAGAGAUCCUGCGCCGAAAAUGUACCGGGGCUAAACUUACCACCGAAGCUACGGAUUUGCAAGUAAUUGCAAGUGGUAGGGGAGCGUCGUAAUCGGGCUGAAGUCGUACCGGAAGGAGCGGUGGACUGAUUACGAGUGAGAAUGUUGGCAUUAGUAGCGAGAUGUAGGUGAGAAUCCUACAGGCCGAAUAUCUAAGGUUUCCUCAGGAAGGCUCGUCCGCUGAGGGUUAGUCGGGACCUAAGCCGAGGCCGAAAGGCGUAGGCGAUGGACAAUCGGUUGAUAUUCCGAUACCACUACCAUCGUUAUUAUCGAGGGUGUGACGGAGAAGGAUAGUGUGUGCUAGCGAUUGGAAAUGCUAGUCUAAGCGUUUAGGGAGUUACGGUAGGCAAAUCCGCUGUAACAAUUCUGAGGCGUGAUGGGGAAGGUCAUUAAGACCGAAGUACAUGAUUCCAUGCUUCCAAGAAAAGCAUCUAGAGAGAGAAGUAGUGCCCGUACCGCAAACCGACACAGGUAGAUGAGGAGAGAAUCCUAAGGCCGGCGGAAGAAUUGCAGUUAAGGAACUAGGCAAAUUGACCCCGUAAGUUCGCGAGAAGGGGUGCCUGCGAGAGCAGGCCGCAGAGAAUAGGCCCAAGCAACUGUUUAGCAAAAACACAGGUCUCUGCUAAAGCGUAAGCUGAUGUAUAGGGGCUGACGCCUGCCCGGUGCUGGAAGGUUAAGGGGAACACUUAGCGCAAGCGAAGGUGUGAACUUAAGCCCCAGUAAACGGCGGCCGUAACUAUAACGGUCCUAAGGUAGCGAAAUUCCUUGUCAGGUAAGUUCUGACCCGCACGAAAGGCGUAACGAUUUGGGCGCUGUCUCAGCUGUAGACUCGGUGAAGUCUUAGUACCUGUGAAGAUGCAGGUUACCCGCGACUAGACGGAAAGACCCCAUGGAGCUUCACUGCAGGUUGAUAUUGGGAUUUGAUGCAGCAUGUACAGGAUAGGUAGGAGGCAAAGAGAUGGAUACGCCAGUAUUCAAGGAGCCGCUGUUGGGAUACUACCCCUGUUGUAUUGGAUUUCUAACCGGACGACGUAGAGCCGUUGACGGGACAGUGUCAGUCGGGCAGUUUGACUGGGGCGGUCGCCUCCCAAAGAGUAACGGAGGCGCCCAAAGAUACCCUCAGCUUGGAUGGAAACCAAGCGCAGAGUGCAAAGGCAAAAGGGUGUUUGACUGCGAGACCUACAAGUCGAGCAGGGACGAAAGUCGGGCUUAGUGAUCCGGCGGUGCUGAAUGGAAAGGCCGUCGCUCAACGGAUAAAAGCUACCCUGGGGAUAACAGGCUGAUCUCCCCCAAGAGUCCACAUCGACGGGGAGGUUUGGCACCUCGAUGUCGGCUCAUCGCAUCCUGGGGCUG